GGAGAUGUACUAGGAUGAAUGAAACCAAUGUUGAACAACUCCUGUAGUUGGGUUUUUAACUCCUGAAGUUCAAUAGGAGCCAUUCAUUAUGGGGUUUUGGAAAUGGGUUUUGUAUCGGGUUCAAGGUCAAUAAAAAAUUUGAUUUCACCAUCUGGGGGUAGGCUAGAAAGUUCUUCAGGAAAUACGUCAAGAAAUUCAUUAACAACAUAAAUAUAAUUUAAAUCUGAUGUAUUUUGUUUAAAUCCAUGACAUGGGCUAAGAAAGCUUGAAAUCCAUUUUUUAAUAAACGAAUGGCUUUAUGGCUUGAUAUGACAGUGAUUGAC
rnacentral:lncRNA from 1 species